UUGAACGCUGGCGGCAGGCCUAACACAUGCAAGUCGAGCGGUAGAGAGAAGCUUGCUUCUCUUGAGAGCGGCGGACGGGUGAGUAAUGCCUAGGAAUCUGCCUAGUGGUGGGGGAUAACGUUCGGAAACGGACGCUAAUACCGCAUACGUCCUACGGGAGAAAGCGGGGGACCUUCGGGCCUCGCGCCAUUAGAUGAGCCUAGGUCGGAUUAGCUAGUUGGUGAGGUAAAGGCUCACCAAGGCGACGAUCCGUAACUGGUCUGAGAGGAUGAUCAGUCACACUGGAACUGAGACACGGUCCAGACUCCUACGGGAGGCAGCAGUGGGGAAUAUUGGACAAUGGGCGAAAGCCUGAUCCAGCCAUGCCGCGUGUGUGAAGAAGGUCUUCGGAUUGUAAAGCACUUUAAGUUGGGAGGAAGGGUAGUAACUUAAUACGUUGCUACUUUGACGUUACCGACAGAAUAAGCACCGGCUAACUUCGU
rnacentral:rRNA from 1 species